AUCUCUGCUUUCUUUCCUCUUGUCCCUGCUGUCUGUCGCCGACUGGGAGAGUGUGUAGCAUUGCCUGCAGAAGUGGGACUCGAUGCAGCCACGGCCAGGGCGGAGUCAAGGUGCUGCUGGCUCUGGCUGUUUGGGGAGGGACCUAAGUGUCAGGUGAUGGCCUGGGCGGAGUUUUAGGAUGCAGGAUGGAGGAGGGAGACCAGGAGAGGCGAGGAGGAGUGUUUGUAUGGUGCUGCUGUCGGCGGCCCUGUCGAGGAGGGGUCGAGGCUACGGCCAGGGCGGAGCUCAGGACGGAGGAGGGCGAUCAGCAGAGAAGACUAAGAGGGG